rnacentral:lncRNA from 1 species
AAUCUUUAUAAUUUUCUACAAUAAGACCUAUAAUUUUCUGUAAUAUGUCAUCAGCAAACAGACAAUUUCACUUCUUAUUUUUUCCUAUUAGGAUGUUGUUUAUUUAUUAUUCUUGCCUAAUUACUCUGGUGAGGAUUUCCAGAACUAUGUUGAAAGGAAGUGAUGAAAGUGAACUCCCUUGUUAUGUUUUUGAUCUUAGAAGAAAAACUUUCAACUUUUGACUCUUCAGUAUGAUUUUAGCUGUGGUUUUGUUAUACAUGGCCAUUACUAUUGUGGUACUUUUCUUCUACAUGCAGUGAGUUGACAAGUUUUAUAAUAAACGAAUGUGGAAUUUUGUCCAAUCCUUUUCUCUGUUAGUAUGAUCAUAUGGUUUUGUCCUUCAUUCUAUUAAUAUAUCACAUUUAUUUACGUUUGUUCAACCUUUCUUGCAUCCCAGAGAUAAACCCAGCUUAAUCAUGGUGAAUAAUUAUUUCAAUGUGUUGUUGAAUACAGUUUGAUAGUGUUUUGCUUACAAUUUAUGCAUCUAUGUUUAUCAAAAAUAUUUGCCUGUACUUUUUUGGUAGUAUCUUUGUCUGGCCUUGGUAUUAGGGUAAGUUUCAGAGUAUUCCUUUUUCAUCAAUUUUUUGGAAGAAUUUGAGAAGGAUUGGUAUUAAUAUUUCUUUAAAUGUUUGGCAGAAUUCAGCUGUGAUACCAUCUGACCGUGGAUUUUCUUCAAUGGAAGAUCUUUCAUUACUGAUUCAUUCUGCUUACUCAUCAUUGAUCCAUUCAGAUUUCCUGUUUCCUCAUGAUUCUAUUGAAUCUCAUGCUGUUGCCCAGGCAGGAAUGCGGUGGCACCAUUUAAGCUCACUGCAGCCUUGACCUCCCAGGCUCAAACAAUCCUCCAACCUCAGCCUCCUGAGUAGCUGAGGCCACAUGCACAUGCCACCACGUCCAGGUUUUUUUUUUUUUUUUUGUAGAGAUGGAGUGUUACUGUGUUGCUGGUCUCUAACUCCUGGGCUCAAGUGAUUCUCCCACCCUGACUGGGGUUACAAGCAUAUAAUUAUAUAAUUACAGGCCACUGCACCUGGCCUAUGAAUAUUUUAAAUGUUGUAUAAUUAGUAUGGUGUUAAAAUAAAUAUAAUUUAAUGUGUAUAGUUUUUAUGUAUUUUGGAGUUAAUGCAUUAUAAUACAACAGUUUAAAUGGCUGGUUUAAUUUUAAAUGGUUGGUUUUACUGAUUACAUCAAUGAAAAUGUUACUUUACCAAAAUAUGUA